GUGGGGAAUAUUGGACAAUGGGCGAAAGCCUGAUCCAGCCAUGCCGCGUGUGUGAAGAAGGUCUUCGGAUUGUAAAGCACUUUAAGUUGGGAGGAAGGGCAGUAAGUUAAUACCUUGCUGUUUUGACGUUACCGACAGAAUAAGCACCGGCUAACUUCGUGCCAGCAGCCGCGGUAAUACGAAGGGUGCAAGCGUUAAUCGGAAUUACUGGGCGUAAAGCGCGCGUAGGUGGUUUUGUAAGUUGGAGGUGAAAUCCCCGGGCUCAACCUGGGAACUGCAUCCAAAACUGCAUGACUAGAGUACGGUAGAGGGUAGUGGAAUUUCCUGUGUAGCGGUGAAAUGCGUAGAUAUAGGAAGGAACACCAGUGGCGAAGGCGACUACCUGGACUGAUACUGACACUGAGGUGCGAAAGCGUGGGGAGCAAACAGGAUUAGAAACCCCAGUAGUCC
rnacentral:rRNA from 1 species